UUCUUUUCUACCCAUCAAUGUACAUCUAGAAGUGUGCGGCAUCAAUCAAGUGCCACACAUUAGCACAUAUAUGUAAAAGUUUUUGCAAUGCCAAACACAAGGUGCCUCGAGCAAAGAUGAAAGAUUCAUGGCCACGAACGGAGUGGAGCAAAGCCAGACUCCGGCCUCGGGGGGAGAAGUCUUGAAGUGGCGAAAACUAAAACAUCAAAAGGGUGCCGUCACUUUCUUACGGUUGUAAGAAUUGUGUAGUUAAAACUGAGAAAUGCUGAGACAAGUGUUCACAAGACCAAAUUUUGGCCGGGUCAUUAAAUAGCAAGAGGAAUUGCCACGAUAUUGUUAUUUAGUGUUGCAGGACGUCUUUGGACUGAAGUCAGGUGGGCGAGAACGUGUACAUGUUACGUGUGCAUUACUAAAUCUAGAACUCUUUGAACCUUUUGGAAGCGUAGCCAAGUAGCUUUAGCAGUCUGCACUUCGGUCCGCCUCCACAGCUCCUCCCAGCCCGCCGUGCUCGCCCACGCUACCGUGGCAACCGAAGCCAGGCAAGAUCAACUUUUCUCCCAAAAGAAGUUCAGCCGCGAAGCAACAGAUAUACGACUUCUCCUCGAUGGAAAACAUCUGUAAACCUAGGUCUUAUUUAAAAUAACCGUUACCCCGAACCUCUGGACAACAAAAACAAAUUACAGCCUCAUGAAUCACAAAAAACUCGACACAACUCGUCAUCCUGUCCCAUCACAACCUCAAUAUCAACUGAUAGCAGUGUCGGUGGCGUGAUUCGGAGUCCGGAAGCAUUUCCAGUCGAGAGUUUGAUUGAAAUCAGGGAGAUGAAUGAAACAGGAGUGUCCUCAGCUGUAACGGCCGCAUGUCAUUGGGGGGAUCGUCUUGGAAAACAUCCAUUAUGUCCUUGAUUCCUCCUGACUAGCACUUAGUCCUCCAGCUGGCAGCCACCCAGCUACACCGAUAUCCCAUUUACACCUGCCAUUGAAAUGUGCCGCGGGCGAUUUGAUUGUGAUCAGAUGGCGCUUGACCACAUGACAGUACAGGUGUAAAUGCACCCACAGACCCGUCGUUAAAAAGGAUUGUGAUCCGGUUGGCCGGGCGGCCCGCAGGAGGUGUUCAGGGACGCGAUGUGACCACGUUGAACACGAGUGUAAAUGCAACUGUGUUCUGUCAAUUCACAUGGACUGUUCGAAAAACCAGCGAGGUAGCAGCUAGGCCUAGUGAGCCGGUAAACAAAGGUAGAGUUACUCUCCUCAGCCAUCAUUUUAUUAAAGAUACUCGUAGAUGGAGAAAAGAUGGGACCAAUCAAAAAGCCAUUUCUCUCACCAUUUUCCAAAAUUACAUUUUUAUGUCCUUGUCUCGAUUUACUAAUUAAACCAUGGAUGGCUACCA